AUAGCGGCAUAUUUUCAAGGUGCUUGCUAGCCACUUCAUGUAAUGAUUUUUUUAGCAGGAUAAUCGGGAAGUUGGUGAGUUUUCAUGAUGACUACAAGCCCAACACUGCCCCCGCAACGGUAAAGUAUUGCAUGUUUUUAUAUGCUUACUGAGUCCGGAGACCGGCCUUGAUGCAAUCUUACUU
rnacentral:ncRNA from 2 species